GAUGAACGCUGGCGGCGUGCCUAAUACAUGCAAGUCGAGCGAACAGACGAGGAGCUUGCGCCUUUGACGUUAGCGGCGGACGGGUGAGUAACACGUAGGUAACCUACCUAUAAGACUGGGAUAACUUCGGGAAACCGGAGCUAAUACCGGAUAAUAUUUCGAACCGCAUGGUUCGAUAGUGAAAGAUGGCUUUGCUAUCACUUAUAGAUGGACCUGCGCCGUAUUAGCUAGUUGGUAAGGUAACGGCUUACCAAGGCAACGAUACGUAGCCGACCUGAGAGGGUGAUCGGCCACACUGGAACUGAGACACGGUCCAGACUCCUACGGGAGGCAGCAGUAGGGAAUAUUCCGCAAUGGGCGAAAGCCUGACGGAGCAACGCCGCGUGAGUGAUGAAGGUCUUCGGAUCGUAAAACUCUGUUAUUAGGGAAGAACAAAAGUGUAAGUAACUGUGCACGUCUUGACGGUACCUAAUCAGAAAGCCACGGCUAACUACGUG
rnacentral:rRNA from 1 species